rnacentral:lncRNA from 1 species
CACUGUGUGCUGCUAAGUUCUAGACUUGUGGAAUCCUACGGGGCUUUCCUUCAGGCGCCGGUCCCCGUCUGUGGUUAUCUUCUCUGCAUGUUUUCCUACACAGCAGUGAAGUACGCUGAUUUCAGGGGGCCGUUACGCUGUUUUUUCAAUGUGGUGCCGUGCCGAGAAAUAGAAACUCAACAGCAGAGGGAACGGACUAAAAGUAGCAGUUCUCAGGAGAAAUGUAAAGUAUAAUUGAAAUAUUUUCUGUUGAUUGUCUUUAUAAAAUUAACUAGGGUGUGUUUUACUUGCAAUAAAGUUAUAAUCUCCUCCUGAGUAGCUCUUUAAGCACCUCUCAUCCCGUGUAUACUCCCCCACCCUCGUAUCCUAUAUAAAGUCUUCAUAAUAGUCUCCUCUCUGCCUGUUGCCUGUGGAGAGGAAGCUCAGACCAACGAACUCACCCAGAUGUGAAAAUCUAGCCUGUUAAGUCUCCUCUGUCUGUAAAUAGGCCAAGGACAACCACUGCAUCUGGUAAAUAAAGAACCCAACAACAGUAACACCACAAGUAUGCCUAAUGAUGGAUUUCAUCAGGGUUUUGAGUCUGCCGGAGGCCAGGAUUGGAGAGGUGGUUGAGUGGUUGGGGGGGGGUGCAUAUUAAAGAGUAAUGAAUCACACACUCAGUCACAGGGUCGCCGUGGAUGAAUGUGCUCUCUGUUUUCCUGGAGUCUGGAGUUUACUAACUGAUGACGCAGGCUGCACUUGAUCAGAGACAUGUGUUGCUGUGGACUCUGUGCCAGUGAGAAGCAAGGAAAGGGGGAGAGGUGGAAGGACGGAUGGCGCCUAAGCCCUCUCCCUCUCUCUUUCUCUCCCUCCUGGGCAUUGCCUCACACUGAUGCUUGUGAGAUUGGGGUGGAGGGUUGUCCCGUCCCACUCUGGGAAAAAUAAACCCAGCCUUUUAGGCCAGGACAGGAAACAAGGGAUCUUCAGUGAGCAUCUUGACCUAACUCCAUCAAUUCCUUUACCAUCCUCUUCUCCAAACACACUCAGGGAGAGGGAGAAGGGAGAAAGAUUGAGGUGGAAGGCAACCAAAGAAACAUGUGAUCCACGGGUGAGAGAGAAAGUGAUUUUGGGGAUUGAAAGGAGAAAGGACGUCGAGAAAAGUGGACAAAAAAGAACUACUGUAGAAAAAAGGAACACAGUUGGCAGACCUUUCACAGCAUCCCUCCCCACAUGACUUAAGCAAUAUUCCCAGAGCUUGGCUGGACUGGUCUCCCUGGCUGGGCUACUGCCACUCUCACCGGAACACUAAUGGGUGAUACAUGCCCCACAGCUCCGCCACUUACACCUAAGAUCAAAGCGUGGGGCAGGGGCAAGGUGAAGGAGGGGGGUGUUUUACGUUCUAGUGUCCCCCCCACCCCCUCUUUGACACCAACAUGAUAUGUCUGUCUGUGGG